AAUCAACGCUGGCGGCGUGCCUCAGACAUGCAAGUCGAACGCGAAAGUCCCCCUUCGGGGGGCGUAUAGAGUGGCGCACGGGUGAGUAACACGUAGGUAAUCUACCUUUGGAGUGGGGAAGUAACAAUCGGAAACGGAUUGCUAAUACCGCAUAAUGCAGCGGCACCUAAUGGUGACAGUUGUUAAAGACGGGGGAGUCAAAGACCUCGCGUCUAAAGAGGAGCCUGCGGCGGAUUAGCUAGNGGUAAGGUAAUGGCUUACCAAGGCUACGAUCCGUAACCCGGCCUGAGAGGGCGGGUCGGUCACACUGACACUGACAUACGGGUCAGACU
rnacentral:rRNA from 1 species